GCUGCAAAUGGGUCGGAGGUAGAGGUCACUGCAGCAAAGAGGUUAUCACCCAGGCCGUCAUCACAGAAGUCAAGUAUGUGAGCAGCUAUGGGGCUUGAGAUGCCCUCCUGCAAAUUUCAGACGGGAAAGAACAUGCAAGUGCCAAUUGGCCUAUGAAGCAGCACAUGGCCAUUUCAGUCACAAUCCAAUUGAACAAAAGCACGAACUGGACACCAGGAAGAUGGCAGCAUGAAACAUUUCCAGAAGAAUCGGAAGAAAGAAUUUAUGUCUUGGAGCAUUUCUGCUACAUAUAAAAAAGAACUGAGCAAGAUCUGUGUUGGAGAAAUAAUUACGGUGAAGCAAUCAUCGUCGGAGAGCAUGGUCGGUCCUCAACCACGACCGGAUUGUUUUGCUCCGCUGCUUGACUGGGCAAUUACUUUCCCUCCAAAAUGUUCUAUUGGCUCCCGAGAAGAAGAAUGAUUCUGCCCAGGGCGUGAAGGCCGAAUCACGUACACAAGGAAGAUGGUUAUGAGAAGAGGAUUGAGGCAAAAAGGAGCAUGUUUCUCCAUGCAGAUGCAAAUGAGACCUUUUAUAAGGUGGUGUCCAUGCAAGUCAGACGCCGGAAAUUUCUGUGCUACACUUGCGCUCAGGAGAGGGACUGGGAUAGAAAACAAGGCAGGAGCUAAGAAGUCAGCACCAACGUGGUAAAUGCAAGGGUGCUAUUCUUGUGCAGGAUGCCAUUUGAAUUUGCAUGGUGUUAUCUGAUUUUAGUCAUUUGACCGUCUCAAUCGCACAUACUUUGCCUUGCUCAGGAUUCCAUUUUUUCCUCCAAGUUUUUUUUUCCCCUUCUAUUGUUGACCAAGUGCAUUUGAUGACAUUUGUAGAUAAAAUAAUAGUAGGUUUUAUCUUCUGAUAUAUGGAUUGAUCCGAGAGGUAUCUUAUUCCUUUGGUUGUGUCAUGCACGGACGAAUGAGGAAUAUUUGUGAACACAAGAAAAAGAUCAAUAAAGUGCAAUAUAUGCUGUGGACA